CCUCAGCGGCCAGCCUCCGAGGGACAGGCUCUGCCCUAGUGCCUCGGUGACACCAGUCUUGAAAAUAUGACAUUGGACACGAGGUAUGAAUCACAUCCUGCUUCAGUGAGCCUUUGACAAGAUGUUGCAGAAAACAGCUUUACAAUGUGGGGGCCUGUGUGCAACUUACUGUCUGUCGGUGCUGGAGAUCAGGGUCUUGGGGCCUCCAGAAGCACCUUCCACCUUCCACACAGCGCGAAAACAAGAAACAGGGAUGAUGGGAAAUAAGGCCUGAGGCAGAUGGUGAGAAAGCUGCGCUGGCAGCCAGAAGGGAGCGGAGCCAGCUGGAGCCACGAGUCAGGGCAGACUCUCGAAGCUCAGUUUCCUUGGGUCUCUGCAUCUAGCCCUGAGGUCGACGCCCUGAACUUCUGGGACCCCAGGAAUGUGGGAUUCAAAGAGGCCAGUUCUGCUGGAGACAGUUCCACACCAAGGAUGCUUACAGGGUGACUUUCCCAAGGACACAGUCCCUAUCUUCUAGGUGCCUGGACUCCACACAUGCCAAGUGCUCCUGAAAUGAAGUUCUAGAACCCACAGCUACUGGGCCGGACUCUAGUGGGAAAGCAAUGCCUGCGAGUUUGCUUGGACUGGCCUUGAACUCACUAUAUGGUUAAGUAUGAUCUUGAACCUCUCAUCCUCCUGCCUCAGCCUCCUGAGUGUUGGGAUGACUGGUGUGUUUCCUAAACACAACACUACUUCUUUACAGACUCCAGCAUACGUUCAGAGCGUGAAACUUGACCCUGAGUGCACCCUGUUACUCGACCUGUAGCCCUCACCCUGUUUGUGCCUGUCCAUCAAUGCCUUCUUAGUAAAAGAAAACCCUAGUGCCAUGGCUGCUCUCUCAGGCUCCUCUGAUAGGAAGCAGGCCCUAAGUCUUUGGAUUUUGUCUUUUAAAAAACACAUGUCAGAUGCUUCAUAAAAUGUCAAAGAUCUCAUUGAAAAUAAACUUAUUUUUAUUUUCU
rnacentral:lncRNA from 1 species